AGUUUGAUUCUGGCUCCAGAUUGAACGCUGGCAGGAUGCGCUACAUGCGGUCGAACGGCAGCACGGACUUCAGUCUGGUGGCGAAGAGUGGCGAACGGGUGAGUAAUGUAUCGGAACGUGCCUAGUAGCGGGGAUAACUACGCGAAAGCGUAGCUGACUUGCAUACGCCCUUCGGGGAAAGCGGGGGACCUUCCGGGCCUCGCACUAUUAGAGCAGCCGAUAUCGCCGGAUUAGCGAGCUAGUUGGUGGGGUAACGGCUCACCAAGGCGACGAUCCGUAGCUGGUUUGAAGAGAUGACCAAUACACUGGGACUGAGACACGGCUCAGACUCCACGGGAGGCAGCAGUGGGGAAUUCAGGACAAUGGGAAACCUGAUCCAGCCAUCCCGUGCGAUGAAGGCCUUCGGGUUGUAAAGCACUUUUGGCAGGAAAAGAAACGGCACGGGAUAAUACCCCGUGCAACUGACGGUACCUGCAGAAUAAGCACCGGCUAACUACGUGCUGCAGCAGCCGCGAGUAAUACGUAAGUGCUGGCAAGCGUUAAUCGGAAUUCACUACGGGCGUAAAGCGUGCGCGAGCGGUUCGGAAAGAAGAUGUGAAAUCCCAGAGCUUAACUUUGGAACUGCAUUUUUAACUACCGAGCUUAGAGGUGUGUCAGAGGAGGUGGGAAUUCCACGUCAACGGUGAUGUGGAUAUGCGGAGAACACCGAUGGCGAAGGCAGCCUCCUGGGAUAACACUGACGCUCAUGCACAGCGUGGGGAGCAAAGCAGAAGUUGAAUGCCCUGGCAGUCCCGCCUAAACGAUGUCAGCUAGCUGUUGGGGCCUUCGGGCCAUGGUAGCGCAGCUAACGCGUGAAGUUGACCGCCUGGGAAGUACGGUCGCAAGAUUAAAACUCAAAGGAAUUGACGGGGACCCGCACAAGCGGUGGAUGAUGUGGAUUAAUUCGAUGCAACUUUGAAAAACCUUACCUACCAUAGCAUGUCUGGAAUCCGAAGAGAUUUGGGAGUGCUCGCAAGAGAACCGGAACACAGGUGCUGCAUGGCUGUCGUCAGCUCGUCAUCGUGAGAUGUUGGGUUAAGUCCCGCAACGGAAAGCAACCCUUGUCAUUAGUUGCUACGAAAGACGCUCUAAUGAGACUGCCGGUGACAAACCGGAGGAAGGUGGGGAUGACGUCAAGUCCUCGCCAGCCCCUUAUGGUGGGAGCUUCACACGAUCGCCACAAUGGUCGGGACAGAGGGUCGCCAACCUUGCAAGGAACCAAUCCCAGAAACCCGAUCGUAGUCGGAUCACGGUCUGCAACUCGACUGCGUGGGAGAUAGAUCGUAAUAAUCGCGGAUCAGCAUGUCGCGGUGAAUACGUUCCCGGGUCUUGUACACCGCCCGUCACACCAUGGGAGUGGGUUUUACCAGAAGUAGUUAGCCUAACCAGCGGAAGGGGCAAUUACCACGGUAGGAUUCGCUGACUGGGGUGAAGUCAGUAACAAAGUGUAG
rnacentral:rRNA from 1 species